AUGUGGCACUUUUCGAAUUCCGAGGUUCAAACAAAUCUAUUUUUGACCGUAAUUUUUUCAUAGAUAUUUUAAACAUUUUGAAUUAUAAAUUAUUGUGAAUUAUAGUACUUUUUACGUAGUUUACAAAUAUAUAAAUUUCAUUUCAAAAAAAUUGAAGAUUCCAUGAGCAAAUUCCCGAUCAAACUUAAACUGUUUGACUCUCGAAAAACGAAAAGUGCCACAUAA
rnacentral:pre_miRNA from 1 species